UGCAUUCCUGUCCUUGGAGGAGGGAGCCCGGGGUCUCUCGGGGAAAUGGAAACACUGGCUCGGAGGGACCUGAGGAAAAGGGGCCUCCACAAUCCCCAGAGACAAUCCAAGGACCGUGGGAGCUGCUCUCCUCAGCCCCGGACUUUCCUGGAGCUGAGACAGUUUCAAAGCCACUGGCUGCCAGACGGAGUCUCAGAGUCUCACUCUGUCGCCAAGGCUGGAGUGCAAAGGUGCAAUGUCGGUUCACCACAACUUCUGACUCCCAAGGGCAAACAAUCUCCUGCGUCAACGUCCUGAACAGCAGGGACUACAGGUGCCUUCCCCCACGCCCGGUAAUUUUUUGUAUUUUUAGUAGAAAGGGGUUAGGGUUAGGUGUUAGCAGUUAGGGUCUGGGUUAGGAUUGAGGGUGAAGGCUAGGGUUCAGGGUUGGGGGUUAGCAGUUCAGGUCAAGGUUAGGGCUAAG